UACGUAGGGUGCGAGCGUUGUCCGGAUUUAUUGGGCGUAAAGAGCUCGUAGGCGGUUUGUCGCGUCGGCCGUGAAAUCUCCACGCUUAACGUGGAGCGUGCGGUCGAUACGGGCAGACUUGAGUUCGGUAGGGGAGACUGGAAUUCCUGGUGUAGCGGUGAAAUGCGCAGAUAUCAGGAGGAACACCGGUGGCGAAGGCAGCUCGCUGGGACGGUACUGACGCUGGAGGCGCGAAAGCGUGGGGAGCGAACAGG
rnacentral:rRNA from 1 species